rnacentral:misc_RNA from 1 species
CCAUUUCCUUAGGCCUAACACUUAGAGCGGAUGUAGGCAGAACAUUUUGUCUCUUGUUGCUGUAGCACUACAGACAUUCUGUUUAACCCUAAUAGCUUUAGCAACAGCACCCCAAGUUAAAUUAUCAUCAUCAAACACAACUUCAUUCUCAUCAUCCAAAAGGAACUUGAUUUGGUAAACCCAAUCUUGCUUAUUCUGUUUAGAGAAUAAAAUAAAAAUCCUAAGCUUUUGAUAUUCAAUUUGAUCUUCAAGUCUGUUGUUUCUAUUUUUUUUUCCUUAAUUGCUUGUGUGAUUUGGUGUGGAUGAGCCUAUGGUCAGCCAACUUAUAAAGUAGAUCGAAUGAUGUUCAUUUGAUCUUCAUAAUAUUAAAAAAAUAAAAAAGGAAAAACACUAAUGUGUUGAAGGCCAGCCUAGGCACAAGCCCUGACAAUCUGAGGUGCGUUUCUUAGCCAAAAGGCACAC